rnacentral:rRNA from 1 species
UGGGGAAUAUUGCGCAAUGGGGGAAACCCUGACGCAGCGACGCCGCGUGCGGGAUGAAGGCCUUCGGGUUGUAAACCGCUUUUGAUUGGGAGCAAGCCUUUUGGGUGAGUGUACCUUUCGAAUAAGCGCCGGCUAACUACGUGCCAGCAGCCGCGGUAAUACGUAUGGAGCAAGCGUUAUCCGGAUUCAUUGGGCGUAAAGCGCUCGUAGGCGGUCUGUUAGGUCGGCAAGUUAAAUCCGGGGGCUCAACCCCCGUCCGCUUCCGAUACCGGCAGACUGGAGUUUGGUAGGGGAAGGUGGAAUUCCUAGUGUAGCGGUGGAAUGCGCAGAUAUUAGGAAGAACACCGGUGGCGAAGGCGGCCUUCUGGGCCAUAACUGACGCUGAGGAGCGAAAGCUAGGGGAGCGAACAGG